GACGAACGCUGGCGGCGUGCCUAAUACAUGCAAGUAGAACGCACAGUUUAUACCGUAGCUUGCUACACCAUAGACUGUGAGUUGCGAACGGGUGAGUAACGCGUAGGUAACCUGCCUGGUAGCGGGGGAUAACUAUUGGAAACGAUAGCUAAUACCGCAUAAUAUUGAUUAUUGCAUGAUAAUUAAUUGAAAGGUGCAAUUGCACCACUACCAGAUGGACCUGCGUUGUAUUAGCUAGUAGGUGAGGUAACGGCUCACCUAGGCGACGAUACAUAGCCGACCUGAGAGGGUGAUCGGCCACACUGGGACUGAGACACGGCCCAGACUCCUACGGGAGGCAGCAGUAGGGAAUCUUCGGAAAUGGACGAAAGUCUGACCGAGAAACGCCGCGUGAGUGAAGAAGGUUUUCGGAUCGUAAAGCUCUGUUGUAAGAGAAGAAAGGGUGUGAGAGUGGAAAGUUCACACUGUGACGGUAUCUUACCAGAAAGGGACGGCUAACUACGUG
rnacentral:rRNA from 1 species